rnacentral:rRNA from 1 species
CACGGUGGGUGCAAGCGUUAUCCGGAAUCACUGGGUUUAAAGGGUACGUAGGCGGCUAAAUAAGUCAGAGGUGAAAGCUUGAAGCUUAACUGCGAAAUUGCCUUUGAUACUGUAUAGCUUGAAAGGAGCCGAGGUCAGCAGAAUGUGGCAUGUAGCGGUGAAAUGCAUAGAUAUGCCAUAGAAUACCAAUUGCGAAGGUAGCUGGCUGAGCUUCCUUUGACGCUGAGGCACGAAAGCGUGGGGAUCAAACAGG